UGCAGCUGUAGGCAGAGUAACUGGCACUGCC
rnacentral:piRNA from 1 species